UUACUCCACUGAGCAACUGUACAGUCGUAUUGCUCUAACCCACAAUGGCUUUCUCCUGCCUGUAGCCAAGAGGAGGUCUUGUCACUGUGGAAGAUCCAAAGAAUCAAAAUCUACCAAUUAUUGCUUCAACUGCUUUUGUGCAAGUAAAGCUAAAUAUUCUAAGACAGUUCCAGAAGUGUGAAGAAAUAGUCAUUGCCCAACAUAACAGUAAGAUCACUGACCUUGAAAACAAUUUGCUAGUUAGCCCAAACAU
rnacentral:lncRNA from 1 species